rnacentral:rRNA from 1 species
AGUGAACGCUGGCGGCAGGCCUAACACAUGCAAGUCGAACGGCAGCACAGGAGGUUGUAGCUGGUGCCGAGGGCGGGAGGCGGGCGGAAUAGAAAGACACAGGAACUGACGUGUGGGAGAGGCCGACGAAAGCCGGACUAAUACUGCAAACGAACAACGGCUGAGAGCGAAGGACGGUGAGCCUUGGACCUUGAGGGUUGGACGGAGCCGGUGUCGGAUUAGCUAGUUGGAGGGGUAAAGGCCGACCAAGGCGACGAUCCGUAGCUGGUCUGAGAGGAUGACCAGCCACACUGGAACUGAGACACGGCCCAGACUCCUACGGGAGGCAGCAGUGGGGAAUAUUGGACAAUGGGCGCAAGCCUGAUCCAGCAAUGCCGCGUGUGUGAAGAAGGCCUUCGGGUUGUAAAGCCCUUUUGUCCGGAAAGAAAUGCUUGGGCCUAAUACGGUCGGGUUAUGACGGUACCGAAAGAAUAAGCACCGGCUAACUUCGUG